rnacentral:rRNA from 1 species
UACGUAGGUGGCAAGCGUUGUCCGGAAUUAUUGGGCGUAAAGCGCGUGUAGGCGGCCAUGCAAGUCGGAUGUGAAAGCCCUCGGCUCAACCGGGGAAGUGCACUCGAAACUGCAAGGCUAGAGUCUCGGAGAGGAUCGUGGAAUUCUCGGUGUAGAGGUGAAAUUCGUAGAUAUCGAGAGGAACACCGGUGGCGAAGGCGGCGAUCUGGACGAUGACUGACGCUGAGACGCGAAAGCGUGGGGAGCAAACAGG